UCCGUAUCGAUCGAGUAGAGGGGGUCUUAUGGUUAUUUGUGAUGGUAAACAGGACAACCACCAGGCCAGUCAGUUGAAAAGUUAGAAAAUCAUUAAAUGCUUUCCGUUCUUGUUGAUGUGCCUAAUUGUCACGAGAAGAGUUGAUUACUGUUUGGGGGAAAAAGAUCAAAGAAAUUUCUACAUUUGGAUUUCUACAUCAAGAAAUGUAAAAAUAAAAAUCAUCAAGAUUGUCCUCCCCAGUUUCCGAGACUGCGCACAUCAUUUUAUGAUUUCCCACUCCACGAUUCGUGUUGAUAUAGAGACCAGUCACUGUGCUUCUUGGUGGCGCGAAAAAAGAAGACGCCAUAAAGAUUUCCAAAGAUGUUUUACGAUUUGGUUUAUUCCUCGAAAUAUGUUCGCUUAUCUCUAUAGUUUGUUUUUCUUUCUUGGCAAAUCAUCAUGGAAGUUUGUUAGUGAAAGGACUUGUUGUUUGAAAGGCAUUGUUCCUGUAUGUUGCCCUACACUAACCAAAUAUACGAUGAUAAAGACGAAUUUAAUGUUAUAUUUCUGGGUUUUUGUCAGUAACUUAAAACACUAACAGGUAUGCCGCUAUUAAUUAUUUGAAGUUUGCUAACCGUACGGGGUGUUUAUUUUUAUUUUGAACCGUAGACUUGUUUGUGUUUGGGAGUGUUAAAUAAAACUGGUUGGCUCUCAA